GAGAUGUGGGUAGUCCGCACGAGCGCACCUCACUUUUAGUUGCCGUCAUUAAGUUGGGCACUCUGAAAGAACUGCCAGUGAUAAGCUGGAGGAAGGUGGGGAUGACGUCAAGUCCUCAUGGCCCUUACGUGUUGGGCUACACACGUGCUACAAUGGCAUCUACAACAGGAAGCAAAACGGCAACGUUAAGCAAAUCCCGAAAAGAUGCCUCAGUUCGGAUUGCACUCUGCAACUCGAGUGCAUGAAGCUGGAAUUACUAGUAAUCGUGGAUCAGCGUGCCACGGUGAAUGCGUUCCCGGGUCUUGUACACACCGCCCGUCACACCAUGGGAGUUGGUUCUACCUUAAGGCAAGGUUUUAAACCCUUGACCACGGUAUAGUCAGCGACUGGAGUGAAGUCGUAACAAGGUAGCCGUAGGGGAACCUGCGGCUGGAUUACCUCCUUUCU
rnacentral:rRNA from 1 species